rnacentral:rRNA from 1 species
UACGUAGGGGGCAAGCGUUGUCCGGAAUUAUUGGGCGUAAAGAGCGCGUAGGCGGUUUGGUAAGUCUUAUGUGAAAUCUACAGGCUCAACUUGUAGUCUGCAUGAGAAACUGCCGGGCUUGAGUAUGGGAGAGGUGAGUGGAAUUCCUGGUGUAGCGGUGAAAUGCGUAGAUAUCAGGAGGAACACCGAUGGCGAAGGCAGGUCUCUGGGCCGAUACUGACGCUGAGGAGCGAAAGCGUGGGGAGCGAACAGG